rnacentral:rRNA from 1 species
GUGGGGAAUAUUGGACAAUGGGCGAAAGCCUGAUCCAGCCAUGCCGCGUGUGUGAAGAAGGUCUUCGGAUUGUCAAGCACUUUAAGUUGGGAGGAAGGGCAGUAUGUUAAUACCUUGCUGUUUUGACGUUACCGACAGAAUAAGCACCGGCUAACUUCGUGCCAGCAGCCGCGGUAAUACGAAGGGUGCAAGCGUUAAUCGGAAUUACUGGGCGUAAAGCGCGCGUAGGUGGUUUUGUAAGUUGGAGGUGAAAUCCCCGGGCUCAACCUGGGAACUGCCUCCAAAACUGCAUGACUAGAGUACGGUAGAGGGUAGUGGAAUUUCCUGUGUAGCGGUGAAAUGCGUAGAUAUAGGAAGGAACACCAGUGGCGAAGGCGACUACCUGGACUGAUACUGACACUGAGGUGCGAAAGCGUGGGGAGCAAACAGGAUUAGAUACCCUUGUAGUCC